UAGGCACUCAAUAAAUGUUUGUUGGGUAAA
rnacentral:piRNA from 2 species